rnacentral:tRNA from 1 species
GCCGGGGUAGCCUAGCCUGGUAGGGCGCCGGACUCAUAAUCCGGAGGGCGUGGGUUCAAAUCCCACCCCCGGCACCA